CACCUCUCAGGGUCGCACCUGGAGAGUUUCCAGUACUCUACCCAUCUCAACUACAGGAGGGAGAGUCAAGAAGCAGAGGCAUAUCCAUUCCAUUCCUAGCUUGGGCAGUGGCUAGCGAGUGGAAGGCAAUCUGCUGCAUGU